rnacentral:rRNA from 1 species
UACGGAGGGUGCAAGCGUUAUCCGGAUUCACUGGGUUUAAAGGGAGCGUAGGAGGGCAGGUAAGUCAGUGGUGAAAUCUUCGAGCUUAACUCGGAAACUGCCGUUGAUACUAUCUGUCUUGAAUACCGUGGAGAUGAGCGGAAUAUGUCAUGUAGCGGUGAAAUGCUUAGAUAUGACAUAGAACACCGAUAGCGAAGGCAGCUUGCUACACGAGUAUUGACACUGAGGCACGAAAGCGUGGGGAUCAAACAGG